UAAAUAGGGCCACAAAAGAUAAUUUGAACAUGGACCAUUGGAUUCCUCUUUGCCCGCUCCAGAUCGGCACAAAGACGGUGCGAAGCCGUAACGCUUCAGGUUGACUGCCAGCUUCACUGAAGAUUCUGAAGUUUUCGACAGCUGAACUGAAGCAAUCAUCAGAGUUUCAGUUCAUGAGCCCGACAACAUCCCAAAUUCCUUCCCAAAUUCUAGGGUUUGUGGUGUGGAAUAGGAUCCCAGUAUCCCCAAUCCACAGAAAACAUUCCACGGAUUCAACAUGCGCACCACGCAGGAGCCGUUCUCUGUCGUCCGGAAGAUUCAGAGCUCGUUAUGCCAACCGGUUCCGCCAGAUUCCAUGGAUUCGUGUUGCGGCUGUGCUGUUCCGCCGUGUAAUACUGCUAUGUAAAGUUUGGUUCGAUACUAUAUGGCUGACGGCACCACCAAAUGGAUGGAGAGAAGGAAAGAUUUAUGAUCAUGGUUGGGGAGCAAACUUUGCUGGAGGGCUCUGUUAUGUUGCAAAGUCGAGCAAAUGUCCAUCCAAUUUAACCCUGACGUGCACGAUAGGCUUGCCGAAUGGGACUACGCAGUGAAGUAUCCCUGUAAUAAGAAAGAUCUGAAGUUACUUGGUGAACAAUUUUUGUGAUACGGAGAAACAGUCACAAUCAUGUGCAAUGAAGGUUAUGGAGAGUGUCUUGUCACUAGUUUGUUGAAAGCUUCUGUAAUAUGGGGACAUUUGUAUAUAUUCAUAAGCAUGUGCAUGCGGUUUUAGUCAUGA